rnacentral:rRNA from 1 species
AUGCAGAGGAGGCGGGCGACGGCUGCUUGCGGUUCAGGGGACGAGGUGAGGGCAGUGCCACGGCGUUGGACUAGGCAGCUUGCAGGUGCAGGCAUAGGAGGAAGGUGGAGGAGACGGCGAGGAGGCAUGGAGGAAGGCGAGCAGCGAAGGUCGACGCCGUCCUGUGCGGCUGCUACAGAGCCUCCGGCAGUGCGGAUCCUGUCCAGGAUAGGCGCGGGAGGCGAGUCCGUCGCGAGGAAGCUCUGA